GACGAACGCUGGCGGCGUGCUUAACACAUGCAAGUCGAACGGAAAGGCCCUGCUUUUGUGGGGUGCUCGAGUGGCGAACGGGUGAGUAACACGUGAGUAACCUGCCCUUGACUUUGGGAUAACUUCAGGAAACUGGGGCUAAUACCGGAUAGGAGCUCCUGCUGCAUGGUGGGGGUUGGAAAGUUUCGGCGGUUGGGGAUGGACUCGCGGCUUAUCAGCUUGUUGGUGGGGUAGUGGCUUACCAAGGCUUUGACGGGUAGCCGGCCUGAGAGGGUGACCGGCAAAAUUGGGACUAAGAUACGGCCCAGACUCCUACGGGAGGCAGCAGUGGGGAAUGGUGCACAAUGGGCGGAAGCCUGAUGCAGCAACGCCGCGUGCGGGAUGACGGCCUUCGGGUUGUAAACCGCUUUCGCCUGUGACGAAGCGUGAGUGACGGUAAUGGAUAAAGAAGCACCGGCUAACUACGUG
rnacentral:rRNA from 1 species